CAGCACCUCAAGUGGUCAGGAUGAUUAUUGGGCCUAAAGCAUCCGUAGCCGGCUCUGUAAGUUUUCGGUUAAAUCUGUACGCUCAACGUACAGGCUGCCGGGAAUACUGCAGAUCUAGGGAGUGGGAGAGGUAGACGGUACUCGGUAGGAAGGGGUAAAAUCCUUUGAUCUAUUGAUGACCACCUGUGGCGAAGGCGGUCUACCAGAACACGUCCGACGGUGAGGGAUGAAAGCUGGGGGAGCAAACCGGAUUAGAUACCCGAGUAGUCC
rnacentral:rRNA from 1 species